AGAGUUUGAUCCUGGCUCAGAGCGAACGUUAGCGGCGGGCUUAACACAUGCAAGUCGAACGAGAAAGUUCCCUUCGGGGAGCGAGUAAAGUGGCGCACGGGUGAGUAAUACGUGGGUAACCUGCCCUUUGGUGUGGGACAACAGCUCGAAAGGGCUGCUAAUACCACAUAAGUCGGUGACGUCCUCGGAUGUUACCGGGAAAGGUGGCCUCUACUUGUAAGCUAUCGCCAGAGGAGGGGCUCGCGUCCCAUCAGCUUGAUGGUGAGGUAAUGGCUCACCAUGGCUUAGACGGGUAGCUGGUCUGAGAGGAUGGCCAGCCACACUGGGACUGAGACACGGCCCAGACUCCUACGGGAGGCAGCAGUGGGGAAUAUUGGACAAUGGGCGAAAGCCUGAUCCAGCCACGCCGCGUGUGUGAUGAAGGCCUUCGGGUCGUAAAGCACUGUGGAGGGGGAAGAACAGGCAGCGGGAACAAUACCCCGUUGCUCUGACGGUACCCCUUUAGCAAGCACCGGCUAACUCCGUGCCAGCAGCCGCGGUAAUACGGAGGGUGCAAACGUUGCUCGGAAUUAUUGGGCGUAAAGCGCGUGUAGGCGGCGCGUUAAGUCGAGUGUGAAAGCCCUGGGCUCAACCCAGGAAGUGCGCUCGAUACUGGCGUGCUUGAGUACGGGAGAGGGUGGCGGAAUUCCCGGUGUAGAGGUGAAAUUCGUAGAUAUCGGGAGGAACACCAGUGGCGAAGGCGGCCACCUGGACCGAUACUGACGCUGAGACGCGAAAGCGUGGGUAGCAAACAGGAUUAGAUACCCUGGUAGUCCACGCCGUAAACGAUGAGUGCUAGGUGUCGCGGGUAUUGACCCCUGCGGCGCCGCAGCUAACGCAUUAAGCACUCCGCCUGGGGAGUACGGCCGCAAGGCUAAAACUCAAAGGAAUUGACGG
rnacentral:rRNA from 1 species